rnacentral:rRNA from 1 species
AGCUCCAAUAGCGUAUAUUAAAGUUGUUGCGGUUAAAAAGCUCGUAGUUGGACUUCUGCUGAUUUCGACCGGUCCAGGCUUUGUCUGUGUAUCUGGUUUGUCUGAGGCAUCUCUCUGAGGAACGUUAUCGCGCUUGACUGUGUGAUUCGGUAUUCAGACCUUUUACUUUGAGGAAAUUAGAGUGUUCAAAGCAGGCGUUCGCCUUGAAUACAUUAGCAUGGAAUAAUAAGAUAGGACCUUGGUUCUUUUUUGUUGGUUUCUAGGGCUAGGGUAAUGAUAAAUAGGGACAGUUGGGGGCAUUCGUAUUUACUUGUCAGAGGUGAAAUUCUUGGAUUUUGUAAAGACGCCCGAGUGCGAAAGCAUCUGCCAAGGAUGUUCUCA